GAAAACCCAUUUUUUCUUAUACACUACCCUUCAAACCCAACUUUGGAGCAGGAGCAAACUUCUGCAGAACUUCCUUUUCCGAUAAAGCCAGAGCCUCAGAUGCCUGUGGUUUGAUCUGAGCCUGGGUCUGGGGGCAUUGGAGCAGCUGCCCUCCAAGACAGACCUCCUGGGAACCCUUCUGGGAAACUGUCUUCACAGCUAUGAAUCCAAUAGUGAUGAUCCCU
rnacentral:lncRNA from 1 species